rnacentral:rRNA from 1 species
GAUGAACGCUGGCGGCGUGCCUAAUACAGGCAAGUCGAGCGAACGGACGAGAAGCUUGCUUCUCUGAUGUUAGCGGCGGACGGGUGGGUAACACGUGGAUAACCUACCUAUAAGACUGGGAUAACUUCGGGAAACCGGAGCUAAUACCGGAUAAUAUUUUGAACCGCAUGGUUCAAAAGUGAAAGACGGUCUUGCGGUCACUUGUAGAGAGAUCCGCGCUGCAUUAGCUAGUUGGUAAGGUAACGGCUUACCAAGGCAACGAUGCAUAGCCGACCUGAGAGGAUGAUCGGCCACACUGGAACUGAGACACGGUCCAGACUCCUACGGGAGGCAGCAGUAGGGAAUAUUCCGCAAUGGGCGAAAGCCUGACGGAGCCACGCCGCGUGAGUGAUGAAGGUCUUCGGAUCGUAAAGCUCUGUUAUUAGGGAAGAAAAUAUGUGUAAGUAACUGUGCACAUCUUGACGGUACCUAAUCAGAAAGCCCCGGCUAACUACGUG